GACGCACGGCUCUGGCUGCAGGACUCCAACCAAGAUGACGAUCCCAGGGAUCAGGAGCAGACCGGUCACCUCUGCUAAGGCGCGGGAACCUGUCGAUCCUGCAUAAGUGACAACCUUUACACACCCUGAGGAUCUCUCUGUCUGCUGGACGUGGUUUAUGGAUCUGGGCCAUGGAGGAGAUGCCAACCUUUGGCCUGCGUCAGCUGAAGAAGCCUGAUGUUUAGCACAUGUUGAAGGGUUGGUCCUCAACCCUGGUUCCAGGUGCCUCAUGUCCAAAUAAACACACGGUGUGUAGGCUACUGUAUACCCCCCCUUUUCUCCCCAAAUGGUAGUUACAGUCCUGUCCCAUCGCUGCAACUCCCGUACGGACUCGGGAGAGAAGAAGGUCAAGAGCCGCGCGUCCUCCGAAACAACCCUGCCAAGCCGCACUGCUUCUUGACACACUGCUUGCUUAUUAACCCUGGAUGCCAGCCGCACCAAUGCGUUGGAGGAAACACCUUACCCCUGGCGACCAUAGUCCACGUGCAGGCGCCCGGCCCGCCACAAGGAGUCCCUAGAGCUCGAUGGGACAAGGACAUCGCGGCUGGCCAAACCCUUCCAUAAAGCUGACAAUUGUGCCCUGUAUAGCCUUGAAUUCUACUUGUCCAGUCUGUGUGGAACAGACAUGGAGAAGGAGAGAAGAGAGAACAGGUGAUUAAGAGGGAUAGAAAGUAGUAUUACUUGAAAAUACAUGAUCUCGUUGAUUGGUAUUCAGCAGUCAUAAAAGUAUGCCUUAUUUACUUUGAAGAAGUACUAAAAUUGUGAUUUGGUCAGACAGCAGCUCUACAGAGAUGAGAUGACUUGAAAUGAAAUAAUAAAACAAAUGUAAUACACAACAAGUGAGAUAUUUGAUAAAGAGUAAAGUAAUGUGGAUGCAUGGUUAAGUGAUGAGCAGUAAUGGACACUCCCUACCAUCCUUGGACUUUUGAUCAUUGUUUUAUUCUGUGUUGUUACAACAUUCAACACACAUCAUGCACUAUGCAUUUCAUUUCUACAAAAAGAAUAGAAACACUUCCCUCCCUCCCCAGCUCCCUCAGUUCAAUUUCAAUUCAAUUUAAGGGCUUUAUUGGCAUGGGAAACAUAUGUUAACUUUGCCAAAG